rnacentral:rRNA from 1 species
GGCUAACUCUGUGCCAGCAGCCGCGGUAAUACAGAGGGUGCAAGCGUUAAUCGGAAUUACUGGGCGUAAAGCGAGCGUAGGUGGCUUGAUAAGUCAGAUGUGAAAUCCCCGGGCUUAACCUGGGAACUGCAUCUGAUACUGUUAGGCUAGAGUAGGUGAGAGGAAGGUAGAAUUUCAGGUGUAGCGGUGAAAUGCGUAGAGAUCUGGAGGAAUACCGAUGGCGAAGGCAGCUUUCUGGCAUCAUAUUGACACUGAGGUUCGAAAGCGUGGGUAGCAAACAGGAUUAGAUACCCUGGUAGUCCACGCCGUAAACGAUGUCUACUAGUCGUUGGGUCCCUUGAGGACUUAGUGACGCAGCUAACGCAAUAAGUAGACCGCCUGGGGAGUACGGCCGCAAGGUUAAAACUCAAAUGAAUUGACGGGGGCCCGCACAAGCGGUGGAGCAUGUGGUUUAAUUCGAUGCAACGCGAAGAACCUUACCUGGUCUUGACAUACCCAGAAUCUUGUAGAGAUACGAGAGUGCCUUCGGGAAUUAGAAUACAGGUGCUGCAUGGCUGUCGUCAGCUCGUGUCGUGAGAUGUUGGGUUAAGUCCCGCAACGAGCGCAACCCUUGUCCUUAGUUACCAGCGGGUUAAGCCGGGAACUCUAAGGAUACUGCCAGUGACAAACUGGAGGAAGGCGGGGACGACGUCAAGUCAUCAUGGCCCUUACGACCAGGGCUACACACGUGCUACAAUGGUAGGUACAGAGGGCAGCUACACAGCGAUGUGAUGCGAAUCUUUCAAAGCCUAUCGUAGUCCAGAUUGGAGUCUGCAACUCGACUCCAUGAAGUAGGAAUCGCUAGUAAUCGCGGAUCAGAAUGCCGCGGUGAAUACGUUCCCGGGCCUUGUACACACCGCCCGUCACACCAUGGGAGUUGAUUGCACCAGAAGUGGUUAGCCUAACGUAAGAGGGCG